rnacentral:rRNA from 1 species
AUUGAACGCUGGCGGCAGGCCUAACACAUGCAAGUCGAGCGCGCGGCGGACGGGUGAGUAAUGUAUGGGGACUGCCCGAUAUAGGGGGAUAACUACUGGAAACGGUAGCUAAUACCGCAUACUAUCGGAUAACCCAUAUGGGAUUAGCUAGUUGGUGAGGUAGUGGCUCACCAAGGCGACGAUCCCUAGCUGGUCUGAGAGGAUGAUCCGCCACACUGGGACUGAGACACGGUCCAGACUCCUACGGAGGCAGCAGUGGGGAAUAUUGCACAAUGGGCGCAAGCCUGAUGCAGCCAGGCCGCGUGUGUGAAGAAGGCCUUCGGGUUGUAAAGCACUUUCAGCGGGGAGGCGGUACUCGCAGAAGAAGCACCGGCUAACUCCGUGCCAGCAGCCGCGGUAAUAC